AUUGAACGCUGGCGGCAGGCCUAACACAUGCAAGUCGAGCGGAUGAAGGGAGCUUGCUCCUGGAUUCAGCGGCGGACGGGUGAGUAAUGCCUAGGAAUCUGCCUGGUAGUGGGGGAUAACGUCCGGAAACGGGCGCUAAUACCGCAUACGUCCUGAGGGAGAAAGUGGGGGAUCUUCGGACCUCACGCUAUCAGAUGAGCCUAGGUCGGAUUAGCUAGUUGGUGGGGUAAAGGCCUACCAAGGCGACGAUCCGUAACUGGUCUGAGAGGAUGAUCAGUCACACUAGAACUGAGACACGGUCCAGACUCCUCCGGGAGGCAGCAGUUGGGAAUAUUGGACAAUGGGCGAAAGCCUGCUCCAGCCAUGCCGCGUGUGUGAAGAAGGUCUUCGGAUUGUAAAGCACUUUAAGUUGGGAGGAAGGGCAGUAAGUUAAUACCUUGCUGUUUUGACGUUACCAACAGAAUAAGCACCGGCUAACUACGUG
rnacentral:rRNA from 1 species